UGGGGAAUUUUGCACAAUGGGGGAAACCCUGAUGCAGCGACGCCGCGUGAUUUAGAAGGCCUUCGGGUUGUAAAAAUCUUUUCUAUGGGAAGAAAAUGACAGUACCAUAGGAAUAAGGACCGGCUAAUUACGUGCCAGCAGCCGCGGUAAUACGUAAGGUCCGAGCGUUGUACGGAAUCAUUGGGCGUAAAGGGUACGUAGGCGGGUAAGCAAGUUAGAAGUGAAAUCCUAUAGCUCAACUAUAGUAAGCUUUUAAAACUGCUCAUCUUGAGGUAUGGAAGGGAAAGUGGAAUUCCUAGUGUAGCGGUGAAAUGCGCAGAUAUUAGGAGGAAUACAGGUGGCGAAGGCGACUUUCUGGCCAUAACCUGACGCUGAGGUACGAAAGCGUGGGUAGCAAACAGG
rnacentral:rRNA from 1 species